rnacentral:rRNA from 2 species
UUGACCUCAAAUCAGGUGGGACUACCCGCUGAACUUAAGCAUAUCA